rnacentral:rRNA from 1 species
GACGAACGCUGGCGGCGUGCUUAACACAUGCAAGUCGAACGGAAAGGCCCUGCUUUUGUGGGGUGCUCGAGUGGCGAACGGGUGAGUAACACGUGAGUAACCUGCCCUUGACUUUGGGAUAACUUCAGGAAACUGGGGCUAAUACCGGAUAGGAGCUCCUGCUGCAUGGUGGGGGUUGGAAAGUUUCGGCGGUUGGGGAUGGACUCGCGGCUUAUCAGCUUGUUGGUGGGGUAGUGGCUUACCAAGGCUUUAACGGGUAGCCGGCCUGAGAGGGUGACCGGCCACAUUGGGACUGAGAUACGGCCCAGACUCCUACGGGAGGCAGCAGUGGGGAAUAUUGCACAAUGGGCGGAAGCCUGAUGCAGCAACGCCGCGUGCGGGAUGACGGCCUUCGGGUUGGAAACCGCUUUCGCCUGUGACGAAGCGUGAGUGACGGUAAUGGGUAAAGAAGCACCGGCUAACUACGU